UGACCUCAGAUGCUUAUACUGGUGGGAUGGCAUGAAAAAGGAUAUAGCGGAGUUUGUUGCUUAGUGCCCGAAUUGUCAACAAGUCAAGAUCGAACAUCAAAAGCCUGGUGGAUUAUUACAGGAGAUAAAGAUUCCGACUUGGAAAUGGGAGAUGAUUAAUAUGGACUUCAUUACAGGCUUACCUCGCACUCAACGGAAGUAUGACUCUAAUAGGUUAUUGUAGAUAGGCUGACGAAAUCGGCCCAUUUUCUUCCAGUCAUUACUACUUAUUCGGCUGAACAUUAUGUGAGGUUGUAUGUCAGGGAGAUAGUGAGACUUCAUGGGGUUUCCACAUCCAUUAUAUCAGACAAAGGAGCUCAAUUUAAAGCCAUAUUUUGGAGGUUGUAUAGAAGGGAUUGGGGACACAGGUGAACCUUAGCACAACAUUUCUCCCUUAGACUGAUGGGCAGGCUGAGUGUACUAUUCAGACAUUAGAAGAUAUGUUGGACGCCUGUAUUAUUUGCUUCAAAGGUAGCUGGGAUGACCACUUGCCGCUCAUUGAGUUUGCCUAUAAUAAUAUCUACCAUUCUAGUAUCAAGAUGGCACCAUACGAGGCCUUAUAUGGGAGGAAGUGCAGAUCACCUAUUGGUUGGUUUGAUGUUGGUGAGACUAAGUUAAUACGCCUAGAUUUGGUUCAGCAAGCUGUUGACAAGGUGAAGCUUAUUCAAGAAAGAUUAUUAGCAGCCCAGAGUCAACAGAAGUCAUAUGCAGAUAAUCAGCGUCGAGAUUUUGAGUUUCAGAUUGGUGACUGGGUAUUCGUGAAGGUAUCACCCAUGAGGGGUGUGAUGAGAUUCGGCAAGAAGGGGAAGCUCAGUCCGAGAUACAUUGGGCCUUAUCAGAUUGUUCGUAGGAUAGGCAAGGUUGGCUAUGAGUUGGAUCUACCCUCUGAUUUGGAGGUGGUACAUCCAGUCUUCCAUGUAUCGAUGCUACGUAAAUGUAUUAGUGAUCCUUCUAGAGUAUUCCCUGUAGAUGAUGUUCAGGUAAUAGAGGAGUUGUCAUAUGAUGAGAAACCCGUAGCUAUACUUGAUCACCAGGUUAGAAGGUUACGUACUAAGGAUGUGGCUUCCGUUAAAGUGUUGUGGAAAAAUAAUAAUAGGGAGGAGAUGACUUGGGAAGCAGAAGACGAAAUGAAGAAUAAGUAUCCUUACUUGUUCCCCGUACAUGCAGGUAAUUCAAUUCAUAGCUUUACUAUAUUGAUUGAUAAACGAGAUUAUGAAGUAAGUUGUAACUCUGUGAGGCAUCUGUAAGUUACAAAUUGCAGGUUGAUAGGUAUAACUGUUAGAGAGACCUCGCUGGAAUUUGUUUUUGUAAGAUGCUAACUUUACAUUUGAGGACGAAUGUUCCUAGGGGGGAAGGAUGUUAUGCCUCGUAUUUUUAUACGUAGUGCACGUCAUGAUCUAAUAGAUGUAAUUCCAGGGAAUGAUAUUUUAUUUUAAGUUCCAAGUGAUUAAAGAAAUAUUGGGCAAGGAUGUUAAUUCCAAAUGUGAUAUUAAGUAUGAUUUGGCUAAUGUAAGUGCCAUUAACUUUAAGUGACGGAUUAAUUAGUGGAUGAUUAGGAUUAAUUUAAUCCAGUGGGACCCACCACACAAGGAAAAAAUAAAAGGAAUCAGAUUGGGAGCUGGCCUUAGUGGGACACGUGUAGAGGGGGGCUGCCUCCACUCCAUACUAUAAAUAUGGUGGUGAAAUCCACUCCAUACUAUAUAUAAGGUGGUGAAAAGCAUUGCAGCAUAUCAUCUUCUUCACCACUCGGCUUAGGAAGCCAUGGAAAUGGAGAAAACCAAUACUGCAACUCUUGGCCAGCAGCUGCAAAUAAUUUUGUUAGUAAUCUCUUUUCUUGGUGUGUUAAUUCUUUAGAAUACCUUUGUUAAUUAUCCAUUAAUAUUAAGAAGGGGGCGUGACCAGUAGCUUAGGAAGUUUUUUUUAGUUAUUGAAUGUGCUAAGUAUGGAUGGAAACCAUAAUUGGAUUAUUAGUGGUGUCAUGUUGAUGAUUGGGCUGUUUUGAUUAAAGCAAAUUGCGGGAAAUUCUGUUUUGAUGUCAUGUAUAUGUUAAUGUGAUUAUGGGUAUAUACUCCGAAGGAUGGAUACUAUAAGGUAGAUGUGUUGCGAAUUAUAAAACGAGUUAUCGCUCGGUGUGUCGUUGCUUCACUGCUAUGGUUGCCGAGACGGAACUGUUUUGGGGGGGGCUGUUUAAUAUGGUUCGUUGGGCUAUAUGUGUUAUUGGUAUUCUGUGGAUAAUUUGGGUUGUUGUCGGAUUGGGAAGAUGUAAGGAAAGUAGGGGAAGUGCUAGCGAAUUUUCGUUAGAUUAUUAGCUAGCUUACAAUAUAGUAAAGCGCGACGUUUAUCUAAUUGCGGCACAAUUUUUGCUUGUUAUAGAUUAAUAGCUUCAGUAGUAAAUAUUGGACGUGCGGCUCGACUAUACGGUAUGUAACACUAUCCCAUCUUUCUUUGUUUGUCAUGACCUUUAAAAAAGAGCGAAUAACGGACAGGUUCAAUAGUUACCUCUAGAGUGUCUAGGUGACGUAUAUUCUUGCUUCCACAACUAGUCCUCCAUAUAUCGACUAUGUCUAAGGCUAUGAUGAUUUCUCAUAUCUAUAGUAGUGCUUCUUAGAGUCAUUGAGAUAUUACGUUUCCAUAUCGUAUGAAAGGUUCAUAAUCUUGAUAAAACAUUAAUCUUUGGUAAUACUCCUUGCUGGUUCACGUUGAUUGUUCUAUUGAGUUAUAAGAAAUGAUUUUAAUUGCAUAUGGUUGCUCAUAAUAUUCUGUUCAUGCAUAGAGUCAUUUAUCAUUUCACCGAGCCCCGGGAAGGGUAAUGUUUGUGCGGAGUUUCUUGCAUAUUCACCGAGUCCCUCACUAGAGGGCUGGGUAUGUAUAUUAUACAUAUUAUUGGUGAUUAGGAUGGUUAUGAUGAUGAUGAUGACAGCGAUGAUGUGAUGAUUAUUUUGCCGAGACCCUUACUAGGGAAGCUGGGCACCUUAUAUAUUAAAGAUAUGCAUGAUUUUCACUUAAAAGGGUACAUGUGUAGAGAUAUUUUUUUCGACUUACCAUAUUGGUAUCCUGUCAUCUUUACCUUAUGCUUUACAUACUCAGUACAUUGUCCGUACUGCCCCCUUUCCUCGGGGGGCUGCGUUUCAUGCCCGUAGGUGUAGACACACAGUUUAGUGAUACUCCUGCCUAGGAUAUCUUUUCUGCUGAUUGGGAGAGCUCCAUUGUUCCGGAGCCCAGUCGUUUUGGUACAUAACUUUUUGUGUAGUCUCGUGCUUGUCUAUGGGUAUGGCGUGGCCCUGUCCCGUCGAGUUUCACUACUGUACUCUUAGAGGUCUGUGGACAUUAUGUGGGUUAUAUAUAUAUGUUUUGGGUAAUGGUCUGGACAUGGUUUGUUUGGGAUGUCCGCUUGUAUGGUUUGUUUGGGAUGUCCGCUUGUAUAGGGGAAGCCUUGUCGGCUGCGUACAUCAUUGUGUAUUGUGUAGUGGUAUCCUUGUCGUCUUACGCAUGCUAUUAUGAUUUGGAUAGUGCCGGCCUUGUAGGCUCGCGUAUGUUGUUACGGUUGAAUAGUUAUGACUCCUCAUGAGACAGGUCCUCUUUAUAUAUAUAUGACGUUGGGCUUGGCUUGAUUUUAUUAAAUUCCAUAUUGUCUUAGUUUCAGUUGGUUAUACUUAGCAAGUAUGUAUGUGGGUGUCCAAAAUGGGCACUAGUCAUGGCCCAUCGGGUUGGGUCGUGACAAGAUUCUAGUGAGAGGAUUUCAUGUUAGGAAGUGUUCUAAGUGAAGUUGAUGGAAUUCAUUGUAACAGUAAAGGACUUCACUGUAAUAGUGAAUUAGUUCACUGUAAAGUGACAUGAACUUACUUACUGUAAUGUUCCUAAAAAUGUGGUAAAAUGCUUAUGUUAUUUCUUAUGUGUUUCUAACUAAGGUUCUAAAUGUUAUUCUUAUGAUUAUGAUCUGAUGUUUUAAUCAAAAAGAGCAUGUAUGUGUCUAAUAAAUUUCCGUUCUUAUGAUUUAAUGCAUUAUGCCAUACAUAGUACUACUAAUUCCAUACAUUUUGUUGUAGCUAAAGGAGUAGGUGGAAGGUGAGAAGGAUCAUGAAGGAAAGCUUGUAUUAUAGUAUCGUUCAAGCAAAGUUGAAGUAUGUCUUCAUUUGACUCGAGCGUAUAUAUAUGUCUUUUGUUUCGAAGUAUUGAAAUAGACAAAGUAUUUCAAUAUUCGUAUGGUAUGGCUGUGUCCCAAGUUUUCUUGAGUAUAAGAAUGGCAUAUGUUGAGACUUAGCGUUUCUAUGAUUUUUAUAUGAAAAGAUGUUUUAAGAUAUUCAUAUGAAAAGUUUUAAUUCCUCACUACAUUUCAUACUUGUAUAUGGGAUAAAUGAAAUGGAAGGGCUUGUAUAAGACUUCCGAGAGAUAAAGUACGCCGGUCCACUGUUAUGCCUCGUAUUUUUUUAUACGUAGUGCGCAUCGUGAUCUAGAAGACGUAAAGAAAUAUUAGGCAAGGAUGUUAUUUCCAAAUGUGAUAUUAAGUAUGAAUUAGCUAAUGUAAGUGCCAUUAACUUUAAGUGAAGGAUUAAUUAGUGGCUAAUUUAGAUUGAUUUAAUCCAAUGGGCCCCACCACUCAUAAUUGGUGGCUGAUUAGGAUUAAUUUAAUCCAGUGGGCCCCACCACUCAAGGAAAAAAUAAAAAGGGAUCAGAUUGUGGGCUGGCCUUAGUGGACAGGUGUAGAGGGGGGCUGCCUCCACUUCAUACUAUUAAAUGAGGUGGAGAAAUCCACUCCAUGCUAAAUAAAGUGGUGAAAUGCAUUGCUUCAUAUCAUCUUCUUCUUCACCACUUGUCUUAGGCAGCCAUGGAAAUGGAGAAACCAACCCUGCAACUCUUGGCCAGCAGCUGCAAAUAAUUUUGUUAGUAAUCUCCUUUUUUGGUGUGUUAAUUCUUUAGAAUACCCUUGUUAAUUAUCCAUUAAUUUUAAGAAGGAGGCGUGACCAGUAGCUUAGGAAGUUUGUUUUAGUUAUUGAAUGUGCUAAGUAUGAAUGGAAACCAUAAUCGGAAUAUAAGUGGUGUCGUGUUGGUGCUUGGGCUGUUUUGAUUAAAGCAAACUGCAGGAAAAUUCUGUUUUGGCAUUAUGUAUAUGAUGAAUGUGAUUAUGAGUAUAUACUCCAAAAGAGGAAUACGAUAAGGUAGAUGUGUUGCGAAUUAUAAAACGAGUUAUCGCUCGGUGUGUCGUUGCUUCGCUGCUAUGGUUGCCGAGACGGAACUGUUUUGGGGAGGGGGCUAUUUAAUAUGAUUCUUUGGGUUAUAUGUGUUAUUGGUAUUGCUGUGGAUAAUUUGGAUUGUUGUCGGAUUGGGACGAAGUAAGGAAAAUAAGGGAGGUGCUGCCGAAUUUUCGUUAGAUUAUUAGCUAGCUUACAAGAAAGUAAAGCACGAUAUUUAUCUAAUUGCGGCACGUUUGUUGCUUGUUAUAGAUUAAUAGCUUGAGCAGUAAAUAUUGGACAUGCAGCUCGAUUAUACAGUAUGUAACGUUGUCCCUUCUUUCUUUGCUUGGCAUGACUUUUAAAAAUAAGGGAAUAACGGACAGAUUUGAUACUUACCUCUAGAGCGUCUAGGUGACGUAUAUUCUUGCUUCCACAAUUAUUCCUCUAUAUAUCGGCUAUGUCUAAGGCUAUGAUGAUCUCUAAUAUCUAUGGUAAUGCUUCUUAGAGUCAUUGAGAUUUUAUGUUUCCAUAUCGUAUUAAAGGUUCAUAAUCUUGAUAAAACUUUAAUCUUUGGUAAUACUCCUUGCUGGUUCACGUUGAUUGUUCUAUUGAGUUAUAAGAAAUUAUUUUAAUUGCAUAUGGUUGCUCAUAAUAUUCUGCUCGUGCAUAGAGUCAUUUAUCAUUUCACCGAGUCUCGGGCUGGGUAAUGUUCGUGCGGAGUUUCUUGCAUAUGUCAUCGAGUUCCUCGCUAGAGGGCCGGGUAUGUAUAUUAUAUAUAUGAUUGGUGAUGAGGAUGGUUAUGAUGAUGAUGAUGACGGAGAUGACGUGAUGAUUAUUUUGCCAAACCCCUUACUAGGGAAGUUGGGCACCUUAAAUGUUAAAUAUAUGCAUGAUUUUCACUUAAAAGGGUAUAUGUGUAGCGAUAUUUUGUUUCGACUUGCCAUAUUGGUAUCCUGUAAUCUUUACCUUAUGCUUUACAUACUCAGUAUAUUGUCCGUACUCACCCCCCUUUCCUCGGGGGGCUGCGUUUCAUGCCCGCAGGUGUAGACGCAGAGUUCGGUGAUCCUCCCGCCUAGGAUAUCUACUCUGCUGAUUGGGAGAGCUCCACUGUUCCGGAGCCCAGUCAUUUUGGUACAUAACUUUUGUGUAGUCUUUUGCUCGUCUAUGGGUAUGGCGGGGCCCUGUCCUGUCGAGUUUCACUAAUGUACUCUUAGAGGUCUGUGGACAUUAUGUGGGUUGUAUAUAUAUGUUUUGGAUAAUGGUCUGGACAUGGUUUGUUUGGGAUGUCCGCUUUUACACGGGCAGCCUUGUCGGCUGCGUACAUCAUGUGUAUUGUGUAGUGGCAGCCUUGUCGGCUCGCGUAUGCUGUUAUGGUUGAAUGGUUAUGACUCCUUAUGAGACAGGUCCUCUUAUAUAUAUAUGACGUUGGGGUUGGCUUGAUUUGAUUAAUUUCCAUAUUGCCUUAGUUUCAGUUUGUUAUACUUAGCAGAUUUGUAUGUGGGUGUCCAAAACGGGCACUAGUCACGGCCCAUCGGGUUGGGUCAUGACAAAGAGUGGUUUCAGAGCGGUUCUUCCUCGGAAGUGUCUACAGACAGUGUCUAGUAGAGUCUUGUUUAUCGGUGUGUUGUGCACCACAUCUAUAAACAGGAAGCUACAGGACAUUUAGGAUGUCAUUCUUUCUUCUUAUUCUAGAUCGUGCGAUAGAGCUAUAUUAACAGGAUAAUCCCUCUCUAACAAAUCCGUGUGUUUUCAGCUAUGCCUCCAAAGAAAGCGACAGUCGCCCAGAAGGGAAAAUCGGUAGCAGAAGGUACAGGUCAGACCCGGAGAGUUACUAGGGACCGUGCCUAGUCUAUGCCUGAUAUUAUGCUCCAGUCGGAGAGCUCUGCUACACCCCCACUGCCAGAAGAGCUUAGAGCAGCAGCAGCUCCAGUUCGGGGAACACCACCAGCCCCCGAGGCCCCAACAUCUGAACCUCCAGCUCCUCACAUAGGGGUGGAGGAUAGGGCCAUGAGAGAUUCUGUUCAAUUGUUGACUAGAUUAGUGGCAGAUCAGGCUCGCAGGCAUGGACUAGGAGUUGAUCAUGCGGACAUAUCUUAUAGCUUAAGGGCUCGUGACUUCUUAAUUUAUAAUCCUCCAGAGUUCUUUGGGUCAAGGCCCCAGGAUGAUUCGCAAGAGUUUAUUCGUCAGAUGCAGCGUACAUUGAGGAUAAUCAAGGCUUCGGAGACCGAGUCUAUUGAGUUGGCUACGUAUCAUUUGCGAAAUGUAGCCAUUAAUUGGUAUGAGUCUUGGGAGUUAUCUAGGGGUGAGGGUGCUCCUCCAGCGGUAUGGGUUGAAUUUGUGGAGGCUUUCCAGGGCAACUUCCUGCCUCCAGAGAUGAAGCGAGGUAGAGUCGAUUGAUUCUUGCGUUUGAAGCAAAAUGGCAGGAGUGUUCGAGAGUAUAGCCUCGAGUUUGAUUCAUUGGCUAGGCAUGCUCCUACUAUUAUGGCUAAUAUGGCAGACAGGGUACAUCGUUAUGUGAUGGGAUUGGAUCGUUAUCUGAUUGACAAUUGUAUGGCAGUGACUCUUCAGCCAGGUAUGGACAUUGCUCGGGUGCAGGCAUAUGCACAUGGGGUAGAGGAUCGGCACCGGGGACGUCACCCAGAUAGAGAUUAUAAUAGAGGCCAGCAUAAGAGGGCUAGAUCAGUAGGUUAUCCUGACGAGUUUCAAAGCGGGCAGUCUCAGCAGCAUGUAAGAUUUUCUUCCCAGCCAGCACAGAGUGCACCCCCACGUUUCAUGGUUAGGGGGUUCGAUCGUAUGGGAUAUUCGGACGCUGGUCAGACCUUUAGGGCGUCAGGGUCACAGAUGGGCAGGGGUUUGAGCUAGUCAAGACCACCUUUUCCUCGAUAUUCUCGUUGUGGUAAGUCCCAUCCUGUGGAAUGUCAUUGGGCUACAGGUGCGUGUUUUUCUUGCGGCUAUCAGGGCCAUACUAUGAGGGAGUGUCACUUUAGAGGUAGUGCAGGUGGUAUGGCACAUCCUACAGGGUCCGUUGCUGGUUCAUCUUCUUUUGUGGCUAUGCGCCCUACAGGGAGGGAAUUCAGGCCCCAGCAGGCCGUGGUAGAGGACGUGUUGGAGCUUCCAGUUCUAGCGGUCCCUCAAACCGUAUAUAUGCUUUGACGAAUAGGCAAGAUUAGGAGGCGUCACCUAAUGUGAUCACAGGUAUAUUAUCACUAUUCUCCCGAAGUGUGUAUGCAUUCUUAGACCCAAGUUCCACCUUAUCAUAUAUAUCUCCCUUCGUUGCUAGUGGGAUCGGAAUAGAGUCUGAGUUGAUAGAACCAUUUGAGGUAGCUACACCUGUAGGAGAUUUUGUCAUAGAUACGCGAGUAUAUAGGAAUUGUUUAGUAGUUAUAUAUAGUCGUCGUACCGUAGCAGAUCUAAUAGAGUUAAAUAUGAUUGAGUUUGAUAUUAUCAUGGGUAUGAAUUGGUUGGCUGCUUGUUAUGCUAAUGUUGAUUGCAGAGGAAAGAUAGUUCGAUUUCAAUUUCCAGGGGAACCGAUUAUAGUGUGGAAGGGAAGUAUAGUAUCGCCGAAAGGUAAGUUCAUUUCAUACCUCAAGGCAAGGAAGAUGGUUAGAAAAGACUAUAUUUACCAUCUGAUUCGGGUGCAUGACAUAAAGGCAGAGGCACCGACUCUUCAAUCAAUCCCUGUAGUUAAUGAAUUUCCCGAUGUAUUCCCCGAGGAACUUCCAGGCCUUCCCCCAGAACGGGAGAUAGAGUUUACUAUAGAUGUACUACCAGAUACCCAGCCUAUAUCUAUACCUCCUUAUAGAAUGGCACCUGCUGAGUUGAAAGAAUUGAAAGAGCAAUUGAGGGAUUUGCUAGAAAAGGGCUUCAUCAGGCCUAGUACGUCACCUUGGGGAGCACCGGUAAUGUUUUUGAGGAAUAAGGAUGGGUCGCUGCGGAUGUGCAUUGAUUAUAGGCAGUUGAACAAAGUAACAAUAAAGAACAGGUAUCCCCUCCCAAGGAUUGACGAUCUAUUUGACACGGUGCAGGGUGCAAAGUGUUUUUCAAAGAUAGACUUGCGGUCAGGUUAUCAUCAGGUGCGGGUAAGGGAGGCAGAUAUUCCAAAGAUGGCAUUCCGGACCCGAUAUGGGCAUUAUGAGUUUAGAGUGCUGUCUUUUGGGAUGACUAAUGCUCCAGCGGUGUUCAUGGAUUUAAUGAAUCGAGUAUUUAAACAAUUCCAUGAUAUGUUUGUUAUUGUAUUCAUAGACGAUAUUCUUGUCUAUUCACAUUCAGAAGAGGAGCAUGCAGAUCAUUUAAGGAUGAUACUUAGGGUUCUUCAGCACCAGAAUUUGUAUGCUAAAUUUUCUAAGUGCGAGUUCUGGUUGACUUCAAUGGCAUUGUUGGGGCAUAUUAUUGUUGCUGAUGGUAUUCGGGUAGACACGCAGAAGAUUGAGGCAGUAAAGACUUUGCCCAGACCUACGACACCUACUGAGGUACGCAGCUUUUUGGGGUUAGCAGGAUAUUAUAGGAGAUUCGUAGAAAAGUUUUCCUCAAUUUCAGCGCCUUUGACAAGGCUAAUUAAAAAGGCAGCCAAGUUCUAGUGGACAGAUGCUUGUGAGCGAAGCUUCCAGCUAUUGAAAGACAAAUUGACUACAGCUCCAUUCCUAACUCUUCUGGAGGGACCAGACAGCUAUGUUAUUUAUUGUGAUGCUUCGGGUGUUGGGCUAGGAUGUGUAUUGAUGCAGUAUGGCAAAGUUAUAGCCUAUGCCUCCCGACAACUUAGGAAGCAUGAAAAAAACUAUCCUACUCACGAUUUGGAGUUAGCGGCCGUGGUUCAUGCCUUGAAGAUAUGGAGACAUUAUUUAUAAGGUGUCCAUGUGGACAUCUAUACAGAUCAUAAGAGUCUCCAAUAUAUCUUUAAACAGAAGGAGCUGAACUUACGAUAGAGGCGGUGGUUAGAGUUGCUAAAGGAUUAUGAUGUUGAUAUUUUAUAUCAUCCAGGCAAAGCGAAUGUUGUAGCAGAUGCUCUUAGCCGUAAGUCCAUUAGUAGCUUGACAGAUGUACAACCAGAAGGGAGGGAUAUGGUUCGGGAGAUUCAGCGGCUAUCCAGCCUUGGAGUCCGUCUAGUUAAUUCGGAAGAUAGUGGAGUUUCUAUUCGAGAGGUUGCUGAGUCCUCAAUCAUAGAUGAGGUAAAGAGACACCAAUACAAGGACCCUAUUCUAGCAAAGUAUAGAGAUGCAGAUCUUCAAAAGGAAAAGACCCCAUUUAAGGUUACACCUGACAGAGUGUUACGAUAUGAAGACAGAUUGUGUGUACCCGAUACUGCGGGCCUACGACGGCAGGUUAUGGGAGAGGCACACUCUGCCCGUUAUUCUAUUCACCCAAGGUCAACAAAAAUGUAUCAUGACCUUAGAUGCUUAUAUUGGUGGGAUGGCAUGAAAAAGGACAUAGCGGAGUUUGUUGCUCAGUGCCCAAAUUGUCAACAAGUCAAGAUCGAACAUCAAAAGCCUGGUGGAUUAUUACAGGAGCUAGAGAUCCCGACUUAGAAAUGGGAGAUGAUUAAUAUGGACUUCAUUACAGGCUUACCUCGCACUCAACGGAAGUAUGACUCUAUAUGGGUUAUUGUAGAUAGGCUGACGAAAUCGGCCCAUUUUCUUCCAGUCAAGACUACUUAUUCGGC
rnacentral:lncRNA from 1 species